AUUUUUUUUGCCUAACUUGAGCAAUUCCAACCAAUCAUUGCUGUUGAUAAGCAUAGUUGAGCUAGGCAAAUUAGGCAAUUGAAAAUUAACAUACACUCGUAUUGUUUCUGAACAGCCUCUGUGCUCAGUUUACGGUUUUGUGAUAUUUUAUAAUGUCUUCAUUGUGUUGUGGUAAUUUAUACGAGACUGCUCAGUCUGCGUUGGCCAAAAACGAUUUAAAAUGCCUUAAUGAGCUUUAUUCUCGUUUAUUGGUCGACGUUCGACCUAUGUUUACUAACGAGCAGCUGUUAGAUAGAAUUUAUGACCCCGACCAUACUCUGUGUCGAAAAUUUGGAGAUGAAAUAUAUGUGCCAAAGCACGCUCAUGACGGAAAGACUUGUACUGCAAUAAGACUGAAGCUUCUGGCAAUUGCCUCUACAGUUCAGCUUCCCUAGUUCUGGUAGGUAACAAUGCAUUGGUCCCUACUUUGCGAAUUUUAACAUCGCUUGAGCUAUUUGGUCAUGCUGCUUUUUAUGCUCAACACCCAUGCUUUUUGUCUGCUAUAAGUGAGCACAGUGAUUACUUUGCCCAAAGCUUAAACAAUCUUUUGCCUUUGUCAGUGUCUAAAGAAUGUUUAGACACUGGAUAUACAACAGAUGAACUGGUAAAACAGGAGGCUAUUUUAAAUUGUAAUGACUAGAAAUGGUCAUCUUUUCUUUGUAUUUUGGGCCUAUCUUCUGUUUUAGGUAGAAAAAUUCAUACUUUUUAUCCUGAUUCUGGUGAAAGUAGAUAUAAAUUGUUAUUUAAUCGUAUUGUUCAGCCCCGGUUAUUAAGCCAAAGAGGUUUGGAUGCUAUUAAUAUUUUGUUUUGUCAUGAAGGAUCUGUACAACCAGGUGAGACUUUUCAGUCUAAUCAUUUUGUGCCUCUCAUUUUCCAUGCCCACAGGUUGAAGCGAAAAUUGUCUAAUUCCUGUACACAGUCUAAUUUUAGCAGCUCAACAACAGAGAAAGGAAAAUUUGUCAAAAUUUUUCCAAAUAUUGCACCAAAAACAGUUGACAUUUCAAAUUUUUUUACUUCAACUAAUAGGCCUGCUGCCCAACCAACUUUUAAAAGGAUGCCCAAUGAGAGUUUUUCUUCUGCUGCAGCUCUUGCUCAGACAUUAAAUAAAGCCAAUAGUCUUUUGCUUCACACAUCAUCCCAGGAACUAUUGCCUGGUAUUCCAACUUCUGGUGAUAUGCAACCUGCUGUUUUAACCCAUAAUUUUGAUGUUUCCUUGUAUAGGGAGAAAGUUAAGGGUAUGGAUAAUUCUGAAAUAUGUCAUUUGAUAAAAAAUGUAUAUAAACCAGAUAAAAAGUAUCAUUUUCCUAAAUCUAAUGGCAGAUCAUUUAGGCAUGAUUGGCUAGACCAGCAUGAAUGGCUUUGCUAUUCACCUUCACAAAAUGGUGCGUAUUGUCUAUCGUGUGUGUUGUUUGGCAAUAGAUUCCCAGGCAAGGCCAGUAAAGUAAAAAAGUUGUUUACUGAACCUCUUCAAGAUUGGUAGAAUGCUAAAUGCUCUUUCACUCAACAUGCUGGAAAAAGUGAAGGGAGGGAAGUCGGUUUGCAUGCAUCCACAUCACCAAUUUUUGAUGCUUUGCGUUCCCAAAUAUCAGGUACUCUGCAGCCUAUCGAGAUGAUCAUGGAUGCUGGUAUCAAGAAAGAAAUAGA